GGGUUGUGAGGUUAAGCGACUAAGCGUACACGGUGGAUGCCCUGGCAGUCAGAGGCGAUGAAGGGCGUGCUAAUCUGCGAUAAGCGCCGGUAAGGUGAUAUGAACCGUUAUAACCGGCGAUACCCGAAUGGGGAAACCCAGUGUGAUUCGUCACACUAUCAUUAACUGAAUCCAUAGGUUAAUGAGGCGAACCGGGGGAACUGAAACAUCUAAGUACCCCGAGGAAAAGAAAUCAACCGAGAUUCCCCCAGUAGCGGCGAGCGAACGGGGAGGAGCCCAGAGCCUGAAUCAGCAUGUGUGUUAGUGGAAGCGUCUGGAAAGGCGCGCGAUACAGGGUGACAGCCCCGUACACAAAAGCGCAUGUGCUGUGAGCUCGAUGAGUAGGGCGGGACACGUGGUAUCCUGUCUGAAUAUGGGGGGACCAUCCUCCAAGGCUAAAUACUCCUGACUGACCGAUAGUGAACCAGUACCGUGAGGGAAAGGCGAAAAGAACCCCGGCGAGGGGAGUGAAAAAGAACCUGAAACCGUGUACGUACAAGCAGUGGGAGCACCCUUCGGGGUGUGACUGCGUACCUUUUGUAUAAUGGGUCAGCGACUUAUAUUCUGUAGCAAGGUUAACCGUAUAGGGGAGCCGGAGGGAAACCGAGUCUUAAUUGGGCGUUAAGUUGCAGGGUAUAGACCCGAAACCCGGUGAUCUAGCCAUGGGCAGGUUGAAGGUUGGGUAACACUAACUGGAGGACCGAACCGACUAAUGUUGAAAAAUUAGCGGAUGACCUGUGGCUGGGGGUGAAAGGCCAAUCAAACCGGGAGAUAGCUGGUUCUCCCCGAAAGCUAUUUAGGUAGCGCCUCGUGAAUUCAUCUCCGGGGGUAGAGCACUGUUUCGGCUAGGGGGCCAUCCCGGCUUACCAACCCGAUGCAAACUGCGAAUACCGGAGAAUGUUAUCACGGGAGACACACGGCGGGUGCUAACGUCCGUCGUGAAGAGGGAAACAACCCAGACCGCCAGCUAAGGUCCCAAAGUCAUGGUUAAGUGGGAAACGAUGUGGGAAGGCCCAGACAGCCAGGAUGUUGGCUUAGAAGCAGCCAUCAUUUAAAGAAAGCGUAAUAGCUCACUGGUCGAGUCGGCCUGCGCGGAAGAUGUAACGGGGCUAAACCAUGCACCGAAGCUGCGGCAGCGAACGUAUCACCCAAGACAACUUUACGGAGUUGACGAUUGACGGAGCGAAGCGACGUCAAAGCGUUCAUUAAAGUCGAGUUGGCUUAGGGAUACGUUCGUUGGGUAGGGGAGCGUUCUGUAAGCCUGUGAAGGUGUGUCGUGAGGCAUGCUGGAGGUAUCAGAAGUGCGAAUGCUGACAUAAGUAACGAUAAAGCGGGUGAAAAGCCCGCUCGCCGGAAGACCAAGGGUUCCUGUCCAACGUUAAUCGGGGCAGGGUGAGUCGACCCCUAAGGCGAGGCCGAAAGGCGUAGUCGAUGGGAAACGGGUUAAUAUUCCCGUACUUGGUGUUACUGCGAAGGGGGGACGGAGAAGGCUAUGUUGGCCGGGCGACGGUUGUCCCGGUUUAAGCGUGUAGGUGUGUGUUCCAGGUAAAUCCGGUUCACUUUAACACUGAGGCGUGACGACGAGGCACUACGGUGCUGAAGCAACAAAUGCCCUGCUUCCAGGAAAAGCCUCUAAGCAUCAGGUAACAUCAAAUCGUACCCCAAACCGACACAGGUGGUCAGGUAGAGAAUACCAAGGCGCUUGAGAGAACUCGGGUGAAGGAACUAGGCAAAAUGGUGCCGUAACUUCGGGAGAAGGCACGCUGACACGUAGGUGAAGUGAUUUACUCAUGGAGCUGAAGUCAGUCGAAGAUACCAGCUGGCUGCAACUGUUUAUUAAAAACACAGCACUGUGCAAACACGAAAGUGGACGUAUACGGUGUGACGCCUGCCCGGUGCCGGAAGGUUAAUUGAUGGGGUCAGCGCAAGCGAAGCUCCUGAUCGAAGCCCCGGUAAACGGCGGCCGUAACUAUAACGGUCCUAAGGUAGCGAAAUUCCUUGUCGGGUAAGUUCCGACCUGCACGAAUGGCGUAAUGAUGGCCAGGCUGUCUCCACCCGAGACUCAGUGAAAUUGAACUCGCUGUGAAGAUGCAGUGUACCCGCGGCAAGACGGAAAGACCCCGUGAACCUUUACUAUAGCUUGACACUGAACAUUGAGCCUUGAUGUGUAGGAUAGGUGGGAGGCUUUGAAGUGUGGACGCCAGUCUGCAUGGAGCCGACCUUGAAAUACCACCCUUUAAUGUUUGAUGUUCUAACGUGGACCCGUAAUCCGGGUUGCGGACAGUGUCUGGUGGGUAGUUUGACUGGGGCGGUCUCCUCCUAAAGAGUAACGGAGGAGCACGAAGGUUGGCUAAUCCUGGUCGGACAUCAGGAGGUUAGUGCAAUGGCAUAAGCCAGCUUGACUGCGAGCGUGACGGCGCGAGCAGGUGCGAAAGCAGGUCAUAGUGAUCCGGUGGUUCUGAAUGGAAGGGCCAUCGCUCAACGGAUAAAAGGUACUCCGGGGAUAACAGGCUGAUACCGCCCAAGAGUUCAUAUCGACGGCGGUGUUUGGCACCUCGAUGUCGGCUCAUCACAUCCUGGGGCUGAAGUAGGUCCCAAGGGUAUGGCUGUUCGCCAUUUAAAGUGGUACGCGAGCUGGGUUUAGAACGUCGUGAGACAGUUCGGUCCCUAUCUGCCGUGGGCGCUGGAGAACUGAGGGGGGCUGCUCCUAGUACGAGAGGACCGGAGUGGACGCAUCACUGGUGUUCGGGUUGUCAUGCCAAUGGCACUGCCCGGUAGCUAAAUGCGGAAGAGAUAAGUGCUGAAAGCAUCUAAGCACGAAACUUGCCCCGAGAUGAGUUCUCCCUGAGACUU
rnacentral:rRNA from 4 species